GGCUUCUCCUCCUCCUCCCGGCUCGCCGAGCCCAGCAUGCACCCCGCGCUCUGCUAAGCGAAUAAUGCCCUAGAAUGUCAGCGCUGAAAAAGGGUUUCUCAUCCUCUGACGUGCGAAUGUAACUGCCACAAGUUCACCCACUGCAUCUUCUUGUGAAUGCCUGCAACGCACACAAGGCUCAGACAUUAUGGGGACAACUCAGGUUUUGCCUGGCAUUCUGCAGAAGCAUUGCUGUAUUUUACCAGACAGGAACACAGAGUCACAGUGUACACUCUGGGUGAACCUGAAGGUGAGUUGCGCAUCAGCAUCCUUAAUCAUUUUCAAAGUCAAUAGUGGUGGUGCUUGACUUGCAUGGUUUGUUUAUUCUGCUAGUACUUU